GGCUGGGUGGCAGGACUGAAUGCAGUUCAUGGUGGCUGCAAACAGCAAGGCAGGAAACUGCAAGAGAGAGAGGCAGCCUCCUUCCCACCGUUACAUCACCUCCUGGCUCCACCCCUGGGCGGGUGUAGCACUCACACCGGGCUUCCCGUUUUUUUGUUUUUUUUGUUUUUUUUUUUUUUUUUUGUCUUUUUCAUUUUUUUUAUCGGUACCGGGGAUCGAACUCACGACCACCUGCUUGCAAGGCAGGUGCUUAUGCCGAUGAGCUAAACCCCCAGCCCCUUCCUGCUCUUAAUGUCCAGGUUAACAAACUCACUCAUCAGACAGCGAGCGCUCACGUCACGUCUAAGCGGAACUUCAAUGAUCACUGAGUUUGUCCUGGUUUCAAAAGCAAGAAAAUCAGUCAGCAGCGUCUCCGGCCGCUACUGCCUGGCUGCCGUUUCCUCCUCUCCUGCAGCUUUACCACGUUCUUUCAGAACAGAACAGAGGUGUGAGCAUCUAUAGCACAGCGUCUACAGGCUUUAAAAGGUUGGACAGAUAUUCGGGAAAUUAACUCGAGGUUAAUAUAAUUCCACCUGGUCAGUAGCUCUGUGAUUGAAUAUUUGGGGCGAAAUUCUGCUUUCUCUGGAUGACGCAGAAACACAGCUGGGACCCAGGCGCUCUCCCAGGACCGCCCCUACCUGGCCCUGGCUCUCUCCCAUCACUGCACCCUCCGUGUCUGCAGCCCCUUGAGAAAGCUGUGAAGGACGGGUCACCCGGAAGGGCCUGGGAACGGAGCUCCCACCUCUCCUGAGGACUUUUCUUUCCGCUUGUAUGCAUGCACGGGUGUAUGCAUUUAUUUACUCAGAGCUGACUGGAAGCAUCAAGGAGGCCACGUCUUCCAUCACACUGGGGAAAAUACUUGGCUGACCGUUGGGCUCUGCUGCUGGCUUAGGAAUUGUCUGAAGGACUCACCUGGGGACCAAGGGACUAAAGACUGCCUUUUGCUGAAGAGCUCACCUGCACCAAAAGCACACAGCGCCUCCUAACGGCUAAGGGUUCUAGGGAUUGGAUUGGGUAAAAUAACCUAGACAAUCAUCUCGGUCCACAAAUGUGUUUCCAAACUUCCCGUCUGCAACAUCUGACGAGUUCAUAGCCAAGUGUUCUGUUAGAAGGGAAAGGGCCCAGACUCCAGGUUCCAAAUCACUGCUGCCUACAGGAUGGUGGACAGCCUGGAUUUCUUAGUGGAGAUACAGGACCUAGCGGAGGACACUUAGGAGACAGCGGAGAAAGCCAAGCGCUUGCUGGAGCUCUGGAAGGAAAGUGCCCAGUCUUCAGGCUUCGGUCACAAGGAGCACAUUGAAUGGUAGGAAGGAACAACUUCAGGCUGAAGAAAGUGAUAAGAAAAAAUGGGAUUUCCUGCAGUUGGCUGAAUCAUGGACUCCAAAUGACAGUUUUGAAGAGCUCAAGAGAGAAGUUUUGUUCACUCAUAAGAAGCUUCGAAAUCAAACCCUUCUGAUGAUCCAAAGAUAGGCACAAUUUUCCUGAGCAAAUCUCAAACAUACGUGCAUGACCAGAGGAACAACACCCAUCUCAAGCAUGGCUUUGGGCAACACCUGGGGGCCAAAUCUCUUGGACAGCCUGAUAUCAGAGAAAAAGCUCCUCAACCUCUGCCUGAGGAAUACAAUCAAAGCUGCCUGCUUUCCAGAAACUGUUCAUCAUACAGUGUUUCGUCCA